GGGCGUAGAGGGCUCGCAGGCGGUUUCUUAAGUCUGAUGUGAAAGCCCCCGGCUCAACCGGGGAGGGUCAUUGGAAACUGGGAAACUUGAGUGCAGAAGAGGAGAGUGGAAUUCCACGUGUAGCGGUGAAAUGCGUAGAGAUGUGGAGGAACACCAGUGGCGAAGGCGACUCUCUGGUCUGUAACUGACGCUGAGGAGCGAAAGCGUGGGGAGCGAACAGGAUUAGAUACCCUGGUAGUCCACGCCGUAAACGAUGAGUGCUAAGUGUUAGGGGGUUUCCGCCCCUUAGUGCUGCAGCUAACGCAUUAAGCACUCCGCCUGGGGAGUACGGUCGCAAGACUGAAACUCAAAGGAAUUGACGGGGGCCCGCACAAGCGGUGGAGCAUGUGGUUUAAUUCGAAGCAACGCGAAGAACCUUACCAGGUCUUGACAUCCUCUGACAACCCUAGAGAUAGGGCUUUCCCUUCGGGGACAGAGUGACAGGUGGUGCAUGGUUGUCGUCAGCUCGUGUCGUGAGAUGUUGGGUUAAGUCCCGCAACGAGCGCAACCCUUGAUCUUAGUUGCCAGCAUUCAGUUGGGCACUCUAAGGUGACUGCCGGUGACAAACCGGAGGAAGGUGGGGAUGACGUCAAAUCAUCAUGCCCCUUAUGACCUGUGCUACACACGUGCUACAAUGGACAGAACACAGGGCUGCAAGACCGCAAGGUUUAGCCAAUCUCAUAAAUCUGUUCUCAGUUCGGAUCGCAGUCUGCAACUCGACUGCGUGAAGCUGGAAUCGCUAGUAAUCGCGGAUCAGCAUGCCGCG
rnacentral:rRNA from 1 species